AGCUAGCAGCUAUUAAAAAUCGUGUGAUUCAGCAUACGAGUACAAUAUUUAUAGUUGGUUUUAGUACCAAAAUUGUUUACAACUGCGAAGCACGUGUUUUGCGUAAAAUUACAAAAUGUGUUGCGUGUGCAAUCUCCUCUGCAAGAUCAUUAGUUUUAUCUUCUCCCUCCUGUUCUUGGUGGGACUCAUACUGCUCAUUCUGUGGCUGACUGGAGUCAUAUUCGACAGAGUGUCGAAUGACCCCACAAGAAUAACAAGGAGCAUAGAGGCCCCACUGAAUAUGAACGCGGCGUUAAAAUGGCAGUUAUAACGUUAUUAAGGCUAUUUAUUUCACUUCGACUAUCGACUUCACCUCUCUAUGUUCUUACUACUCUAUGACAGCACUAUGUGUGCAAUGUACGGCUGAUUUUACUGUCACGCUGACCGUCGGUGUUGACACCAUUGUAUGAGUCAUCAGCGCAGACCGCUACGUGUUAGGCCUUAGGGCCUGUAGGCCUGCUACGAAAGCCUAGCAUGGUCACCAUAGAAGCGGUUCCUUUCUACGGAAGACUAGACAAAAUUAUAGUUAAACAAAUCGCAAAUGUUAUCCACCAUUUUGACACUAAAAGCUGUCAGUAUUUCCAUUUUCCAAUCUUUCCCGUUUACAAUAUUGCUAUGCCAAGCCUGCUAAUGUUCCAUACAUUUUGGGCCAUCACCGGCGACGGUACGCGUGCAGUGGGCGUUAGACUAAAAUCAGCCUAAAGUCUUGUCUUUAUAUUUGUGAAUAUAGAGUAACACAAUAUCAUCAGACUCAUCAAAAAUAUUUUUUUUUAUAAUUUCCUUUCCAAUGUUUUAUAUUUUAUAUACAGCAAUAACAUUUAUUGUAAUAUUUAGUAUUACGAAUAGCAUGUUAUUCCAAGAAUAUUCCGUUAAUUAAUAUUCAA